CAGUAGCCGCGGUAAUACAGAGGGUGCAAGCGUUAAUCGGAAUUACUGGGCGUAAAGCGCGCGUAGGUGGUUUGUUAAGUUGGAUGUGAAAGCCCCGGGCUCAACCUGGGAACUGCAUCCAAAACUGGCAAGCUAGAGUACGGUAGAGGGUGGUGGAAUUUCCUGUGUAGCGGUGAAAUGAGUAGAUAUAGGAAGGAACACCAGUGGCGAAGGCGACCACCUGGACUGAUACUGACACUGAGGUGCGAAAGCGUGGGGAGCAAACAGGAUUAGAGACCCCGGUAGUCCCUGUCUCUUAUAC
rnacentral:rRNA from 1 species